UUCAUUUUGAAGGACUGCUGGAGGC
rnacentral:piRNA from 1 species